rnacentral:rRNA from 1 species
UACGGGGGGGGCAAGCGUUGUUCGGAAUUACUGGGCGUAAAGGGCUCGUAGGUGGCCAACUAAGUCAGACGUGAAAUCCCUCAGCUUAACUGGGGAACUGCGUCUGAUACUGGAUGGCUUGAGUUUGGGAGAGGGAUGCGGAAUUCAGGUGUAGCGGUGAAAUGCGUAGAUAUCAAGAGGAACACCUGAGGUGAAGACGGGUUGCUGGGCUGACACUGACGCUGAGGCGCGAAAGCUAGGGUAGCAAACGGG